rnacentral:piRNA from 1 species
UGGAUGUAAAGACGCACCACGCAGAUGAUG